GAUGAAGAACGUAGUGAAAUGCGAUACGUAAUGUGAAUUGCAGAAUUCAGUGAAUCAUCGAAUCUUUGAACGCACAUUGCGCCCGCCAGCACUCUGGCGGGCAUGCCUGUUCGAGCGUCAUUUCAACCAUCAAGCCCCAGGCUUGCGUUGGAGCCCUGCGGCUGCCGCAGCCUCCUAAAAGCAGUGGCGGGCUCGCUAUCACACCGAGUGCAGUAGAUUACUCUUCGCUCAGGGCGUGCAGCGGGUUCCGGCCGUGAAACCCCCUACUUUUAAAGGUUGACCUCGGAUCAGGUAGGAAUACCCGCUGAACUUAAGCAUAUCAUAAGCGGAGGA
rnacentral:misc_RNA from 1 species